GACAUGUUAUACUGGUUGUACAGUAUAAAAUAUAAAGAGAGAACAGGACACAACUUUUCUUUUGCUUCUCUGAUUCGUUCCGUUUUGUUGUCUAUCUAUUUCUUUACUUACACCGGCACUCUCUCAAAAUAUGCA